rnacentral:misc_RNA from 1 species
GAUGAAGAACGUAGCGAAAUGCGAUACGUAAUGUGAAUUGCAGAAUUCAGUGAAUCAUCGAAUCUUUGAACGCAUAUUGCGCUCUCUGGUAUUCCGGAGAGCAUGCUUGUUUGAGUAUCAGUAAACACCUCAACUUCCAUAUCUUUUUUGAAAUGGGAGUUGGACUUGAGUGAUCCCAACGCUUUUCCUCACCGAAAAGUGGCGGGUUACUUGAAAUGCAGGUGCAGCUGGACUUUUCUCUGAGCUAUAAGCAUAUCUAUUUAGUCUGCCUAAAAAACAGAUUAUUACCUUUGCUGCAGCUAACAUAAAGGAGAUUAGUUCUUGUGCUGACUGAUGCAGGAUUCACAAAGACAGGCUUCGGCCGACUUUGUAAACUCGAUCUCAAAUCAAGUAAGACUACCCGCUGAACUUAAGCAUAUCAAUCAGCGGAGGA